rnacentral:rRNA from 1 species
UACGGAGGAUGCAAGCGUUAUCCGGAAUGAUUGGGCGUAAAGGGUCCGCAGGUGGCAAUGUAAGUCUGCUGUCAAAGAAUGAGGCUUAACCUCAUCAAGGCAGUGGAAACUACAUAGCUAGAGUACGGUCGGGGUAGAAGGAAUUCCUGGUGUAGCGGUGAAAUGCGUAGAGAUCAGGAAGAACACCGGUGGCGAAAGCGUUCUGCUAGACCUGUACUGACACUGAGGGACGAAAGCUGGGGGAGCGAAUGGG